UACGUAGGGGGCGAGCGUUGUCCGGAUUCAUUGGGCGUAAAGCGCGCGUAGGCGGCUCCGCAAGUCGGCCGUGAAAUCUCCAGGCUCAACUUGGAGGGGUCGGGCGAGACUGCGGAGCUCGAGGUGGGCAGAGGGCAGUGGAAUUCCGGGUGUAGUGGUGGAAUGCGUAGAGAUCCGGAGGAACACCAGUGGCGAAGGCGGCUGCCUGGGCCUGGCCUGACGCUGAGGCGCGAAAGCGUGGGGAGCGAUCCGG
rnacentral:rRNA from 1 species